rnacentral:lncRNA from 1 species
AGAGAAAAGAUCUGAGAGAAAAGCCUGGGACUCUGCCACCCAGCUCCCUGGCCCCUGGGAGAAGCCAUGGCAGAUAUUUGGGAUGAGGCAGCAUGCUGGUCCCUCAGCAGCAUCCUUAUCACGUCAGCUGUGGUAAGUGAUAUUCUUGAUACUUGCUGUUUUGCCAGAAGUUAGAAUAUCGCUUUUCUCUUGAAUUGAUACAUGCUGCUUAGAAGCCACUGGGUUUCUUGGCAUGUCUAUUUAGAAUUACAGAUAACCCAGUAAAAAUUUUCAAACAUCAUGUAACAUGUAUUAUCAAUCCAGGCACGUGUAGAUAUUUGGACUCACGGAGACAGAGGAGUGUCAUGGAAAAAGCAUUGCAUCAGGAAUCAGGAGGCCUGGGGCCUAAUUGAAUCUUUGACUCUAAUGUGAUUUUAGCAAGGGGGCUUAACUGCACGGAGGCACUGUCUUCUCUUCAUGGGAGACCAUCCCCGAUCAUUGCUGCUAUCUCCAUAAAUCCCAAAGGGAAAUGAUACUCAGUCUAUUCCAGAGCUGCAAGACUUACAAUCUCCCGGUCAGGAUUUUUAGGCUCUAAUCCAUGUAAGAGAUCCUGGUCUUUUAGCAGAAAUAGAAAUGUUCUCAAGUAGGGCACGCUGUUAGAGAAUUUUUAAAAAUAAAUUGGGAAGUCAUUGGUAAUUUGUAGUAAGAAGAAAGACUUGUUUUAUAAAUCAAAAUGCCAGAGUCUAAAACGAGCAAGAAUUCCAAUUGCUGACUAUGAAUAUCUGAAUACAGCACUACUUUCUAAUUGCUUCACUUGCUACAGAGAGAAAUAAAACUGUGAGACUGUGAAGUGUAUAAAGGAUUCUACCGCUCUCCCGGGGCUUGGAGACCCACAGAUUGGAGAAAUCUCCAUCUCAAUCUUCUUUGCCACGUCAUGCAUGCCCUUGAAGCAUUAGAAUUCCUUAAAGCUUCAUGGGAGAAUGCCAUGGGAUGAUGAAGACAGAGAUUGGAGUCAUGCAUCUGCAAGCCAAGAAAUGUACAAGAUUGCUGGCAAACCACCAGAAGCUAGGAGCAGACAAGGAAGGAUCCUCCCCUAAAGGUUUCAGAGGGAGCCAUGGCCUUGCUGACAUCUUGAUUUCAGACUU